GACGAACCGAGCGAACGUUGUUCGGAAUCACUGGGCUUAAAGGGCGCGUAGGCGGGUUGCAAGUCCGGGGUGAAAUCCCACAGCUCAACUGUGGAACUGCCUCGGAUACUGUGAGUCUCGAGGGUGGCAGGGGUAUGCGGAACUAUCGGUGGAGCGGUGAAAUGCGUUGAUAUCGAUAGGAACUCCGGUGGCGAAGGCGGCAUACUGGUCCACUUCUGACGCUGAGGCGCGAAAGCCAGGGGAGCAAACGGG
rnacentral:rRNA from 1 species